rnacentral:rRNA from 1 species
GAUCCCCAUGUUCAUUGUGGGCCAUGUCAACAAAGACGGAGCCAUUGCAGGCCCCAAGGUCAUGGAGCACAUCGUGGAUACUGUGCUCUACUUUGAGGGCGACAAAAUGCUGCCUUAUCGCAUUCUGCGGGCUGCCAAGAACCGCUAUGGCUCCACCAAUGAACUGGGCAUGUUUGAUAUGACAGGGCAGGGGCUGGAGGAGAUCGAAAACCCUUCCCAGAUGCUUUUGGAAGGCCGUCCGCUGGGGGUUUCCGGUAACUGCGUCGCCUGUACGAUGGAGGGCAGCCGCCCCAUUCUAAGCGAGAUCCAGGCCCUUGCCACCAAAACGAAUUUCCCGGCACCGCGGGCGCGGCCGACAGCAGCCGCGGUAAAACGUAGGUCACAAGCGUUGUCCGGAAUUACUGGGUGUAAAGGGAGCGCAGGCGGGAAGACAAGUUGGAAGUGAAAUCUAUGGGCUCAACCCAUAAACUGCUUUCAAAACUGUUUUUCUUGAGUAGUGCAGAGGUAGGCGGAAUUCCCGGUGUAGCGGUGGAAUGCGUAGAUAUCGGGAGGAACACCAGUGGCGAAGGCGGCCUACUGGGCACCAACUGACGCUGAGGCUCGAAAGUGUGGGUAGCAAACAGGAUUAGAUACCCUGGUAGUCCACACCGUAAACGAUGAUUACUAGGUGUUGGAGGAUUGACCCCUUCAGUGCCGCAGUUAACACAAUAAGUAAUCCACCUGGGGAGUACGACCGCAAGGUUGAAACUCAAAGGAAUUGACGGGGGCCCGCACAAGCAGUGGAGUAUGUGGUUUAAUUCGAAGCAACGCGAAGAACCUUACCAGGUCUUGACAUCCUACUAACGAGAUAGAGAUAUGUUAGGUGCCCUUCGGGGAAAGUAGAGACAGGUGGUGCAUGGUUGUCGUCAGCUCGUGUCGUGAGAUGUUGGGUUAAG